rnacentral:rRNA from 1 species
CCUACGGGAGGCAGCAGUGAGGAAUAUUGGUCAAUGGGCGGAAGCCUGAACCAGCCAUGUCGCGUGAAGGAAGACGGUACUUAGUGUUGUAAACUUCUUUUGUCCGGGAACAAAGGCGGAGACGCGUCUCCGGAUGAGUGUAUCCGACGAAUAAGCAUCGGCUAACUCCGUGCCAGCAGCCGCGGUAAUACGGAGGAUGCGAGCGUUAUCCGGAUUUAUUGGGUUUAAAGGGUGCGUAGGCGGGAGAUAAAGUCAGAGGUAAAAUGUCGGGGCUCAACCCCGGACGGCCGUUGAUACUGGUUGUCUAGAGUUGGAGAGAAGUAUGCGGAAUGCGUGGUGUAGCGGUGAAAUGCAUAGAUAUCACAAAGAACUCCGAUUGCGAAGGCAGCAUACCGGCUCCCUACUGACGCUGAGGCACGAAAGCGUGGGGAUCGAACAGGAUUAGAUACCCUAGUAGUC